AGAACGAACGCUGGCGGCAGGCCUAACACAUGCAAGUCGAACGCGACCUUCGGGUCGAGUGGCGCACGGGUGAGUAACGCGUGGGAAUCUGCCCUGUGGUACGGAAUAACAUCGGGAAACUGGUGCUAAUACCGUAUAUCCCCUGAGGGGGAAGGAUUUAUCGCCAUGGGAGGAGCCCGCGUAGGAUUAGCUAGUUGGUGAGGUAACGGCUCACCAAGGCGACGAUCCUUAGCUGGUCUGAGAGGAUGAUCAGCCACACUGGGACUGAGAUACGGCCCAGACUCCUACGGGAGGCAGCAGUGGGGAAUAUUGGACAAUGGGGGAAACCCUGAUCCAGCCAUGCCGCGUGUGUGAUGAAGGCCUUCGGGUUGUAAAGCACUUUCGCACGUGACGAUGAUGACGGUAACGUGAGAAGAAGCCCGGCUAACUUCGCGCCAGCAGCCGC
rnacentral:rRNA from 1 species